AACCGCGCGGAGGUGGGAAGGGGCAGUUAUUGUCUGCGCUGCUGGCUGGCUACGGCGACUGACGCGCACGUGAGGGAUCGGAUGUGACGCUACGUGCCGCGCGAACUAGUGUUUUGACAGGCUCCUAAGUGCGAUAACAGAGUUCUGAAGGUGUGUCAGCCACAUCUUCCUGAGCUCACAUCCGGAGGAGCUGGACCAUGCGUCAGCGCUGAGAAUGACAUCGACGCCCGGCGCCGACAGCAACUCGUCGCCGCCGACGCCCCCCCAGCCCGGUGAGAGCUUCGCCGUCGCGACGCCGACGCCUUGGAGGCGGCGCCACCUGGAGCUCGCCGCCCGCCGCCGCCUCUGGCCGCAGAGACGCCACCCCCAGCCGCCCCCGAACCGCCGCCGCCGGCGCAGACGCCGCCCUCGGGACCAAAUGACUGCCUUGUGCUGCUAGACAACAGGCUGUGUGUGUGUAUUCUCUGCUUCGCCGAGCCGCUGACGACCUCUACUGCUCUUACGGCAUAAAGGGGAACUAGACGGUGCAGGAAGAGGCGACGUUAUUCCUGGACCUCAUUGUGAUUGCAAGCGGCGCAUAUAAGGAGCAGGAGAAGCGAGUUUUGUGAGCGUGACGUCGAGACGAGGACUUCAAAAGCAGGCCGCCGUCACACAGUUCCCCCUUUUUCUCCCGUUAACGAAGUGUCGCGAAGCGCGAGCCGUGUGUUGUGAAUCGUGUCGGUUGUGCACGCACAUACGUACGCUUGUGCAUGCCCGUCGUGUUAACUUUUCUAUUUUUUUUCUUACAUUUCCGAGAGUUUUGUUUAACUCACGUCCCAUUUCGAAAAUUGUCCAUUUCUUCGUGGUGUGUGCGGGUGUCGUACUGGUGAACGAGUGGUGAUUUUUUGACGCGCAUCACUGCGCUACAUUGCGGUGACAAAUCACGAGUGCAUCUUUUACGUAAUUUCAUUGUGCCAUCGCUUCACCUGCGAAAUGGAUCUCCAUCUAUCAGCGGUGUUCGUGGUCGCUGCUUCGUUAUUGGUUACAUUCCCUCGAGCAGCUUUAGGUGAGUCGUGCUGUCCUGAUACAAGUUGUAUUCAAACUUCGCUUAUCUGACUACAGCAGCGGUAAGUACUGCAGUGCAACAGAAUCUUCGAAU